UACAGAGGUCCCAAGCGUUGUUCGGAUUCACUGGGCGUAAAGGGCGCGUAGGCGGUCGCGUAAGCGUGUGGUGAAAGCCCGGGGCUCAACCCCGGGUCGGCCAUGCGAACUGCGGGACUGGAGCAGAUCAGAGGCAGGCGGAAUUCCGGGUGUAGCGGUGGAAUGCGUAGAGAUCCGGAAGAACACCGGUGGCGAAGGCGGCCUGCUGGGAUCUUGCUGACGCUGAAGCGCGACAGCGUGGGGAGCAAACAGG
rnacentral:rRNA from 1 species